UCUCUUUCUGAACAAUAGGGUAGUUAAUUUGACUUUUCCGAAGAUAAUCUGUUGAAUGUAUUUAAGUAUCAAGCACGUAGGCUGCAGAAUGGAACUGUUUUUAAUUUCCUCGUUUGUUAAGCGUCGCCUAAUGAAAUGCACUCUUGGUAGGCGUUUUGGGGUUUUCUGAAAAUGUGGCAAGUAUUAUUUUUUAUGUCAUAUAGCUAUUCAUGGAGGUAAUUCAUGACACAUGCGGAUAAUUAAAUUGCGUCUUGGACGUGAUUUAAAUUUAGGUCAGUCCCGCUCCGCAGAUAGAUGCGCGCGUGAUUUAUGAACACUGCACUGGUAAUAGAUUUAGAAGAGGUUCUUCGAUGGUAAAUCCACCAUCGAAGAAUCAGCGCGUCGACAAAACGCCUUAACAACUUCUAAUACAGUACUGCGUGUUAAUAUAUGUUUUCAUAAUGUAGGCUAUGUUCAAGAAUAGUUCUUGUAGUCUAUGUGCAAGGCUUCCAGUAAUGAGCAACAUUGUCUGGUCAAAUAAAAAAUAAAAUAAUGCAUGCAUAUUUAGUAAUAGAAAUGACACAAAUGUGGCAAUCUGAUACCUAACUGCAUAAAAUAAUUUCCCACCACUUCUUCCAAUGAGCAACUUCAGAGUUGUCUCUAUACUGACACCAUGAGGCAGAACGAUCUGACAACAACGACAUUAAAUGUCAUUGCAAUUGGUCUUCAACUGUAUUGAAACGCUAUGAAUGGUCUCUGUUCAGUUUACAGUAAAUAACUUUGAAACGGUGUUCAUUGCAUCCUGUAAGAAACUCUGAUUGUGUCUAUAGGGGGUUCAAAAUCCUGUUAAAAUGCGCACCUGAUGACAAUGAACUUUGAUAAUAGCUACACAUCCUCUACCGAACUUUGUGGGAUUUGGGUUUACAGCGUUGCAAUCUGCCUUGAGGGGGUAAUUAUUUCCUGACAACGGAAGGAAACUACGUAGGCUAAUAUCUAACUGAGUUACUGUAAAGGCGCUAUAAUAUUGCAUGGCCCUGUUUAGGUGUUAUGGUUCUCAGUUCUGUAGGACCGCUGUGUACAGAGUGUGUAAUUUGCAGUUUGAUGACUUAAUCGGAAGGUUGAAUUAGGUGUGGAGAAGAGGCUCGGUUUAGUCAUAGAUAUGUUGUGUUAGUUGAUGGAAAUUUUUUCUUUUCUUCAUGAAAAUUAAUAUACUGUAUAUUCAUACAGCAUGUCUACGGUGAAAGAAACAAAAUUAAUUUUUCUGAAUUAUAGGAUUCAUCUGAAACCAGAAAUUAUGCAAUUGUCUUUAAGUGUUUUCUUUCAAGAUGAAUAGCCUAAAUUGUUAGCGUCCUUUACUUUGUAAACAACAUAGGCAUUCCUUAGAAAAUUGUGACAAUUCAGUUAAAUUAAAAAGCAUAGAAAUUGAUUUGCCUUUAAAAUGAUAAAUUCUUAAAAUGUAAUGCAAGCACGUGCAGCAUAGUGUUAAGAAACCCCAGUCCUCUUGCAUAUUUUAAGAGUUUUUAAGGUAUUUGUAAAAUCUUUUAGCGUAGCUGUGUUCACAUGUACAUGCUUUUUAUAUGAAAGGUGAAACUGCAUCUUGGUGUUAUUAAACAAAUACCAGUUUUUGGUAAGUGUGUAUUAAAUGUAUCAAAGUAAAUGCUUCAGUUAUGCAAUGUUAGCCAUUUCCGCUGGAGGAGAAGUGAAUAAUCCCAGGAUGUAUUUACUUAUUCAAUGUCCUGGUUCAUUUUAAUUUGAAUGAUAAUGGUUUUACCUUUUUAUUUUCCUUAUGAAAUUGGACCUUUCGCACAAGUCUAACUCAACUGGUCCCAUAAUCCCCACCUUAAUCCUGGCGCUGUCUUUGCGGGCACAUCUUUUCUUUAAGUGUUUGAAUUAAAGGCCAUCUCUAGAGUAGAAUUUGGAAAAUUGAGUUGAAAGAAGAGACCGGCAUAUCAUGUCUGCGACUGUGGGAAGAGGAUGCAAAUGGCUCCAUUAAAAGUAUAAUUCUCCGGUAAAAUUGUGCAGUAGCUGCUGUAUAAUUAUUGAUCCUGUUGCUUAUGUCUCUCUUCGGGGGGAGGCGGAGCUAUUUGCGGAUUCCUGAGGGUGCUGAGCCGUUGAGCAGAAGCCACAGGAGUGGACAGCCGUGGCGGGUCACUGGGGGCCGACUCCCCAGGGAGCCGUUCAGCACCGCCAGGAACACAGAGAGAGACCCGCAGACCCCACACACCUGCUGAAACCUCACGGGGGAACACACUGAGGGUUGCAGCCGAGGCACCGUUUCGAUGCGUGGAUGGGCCGCGUGGUGCAGCUUCACACCAAGCCGUGGCGGGGAGCACCUCCGGGCGAUGAGCGGUCGGCUAUGGCGUUGAUAGAAGCUUCUGGGGGAUUCAGCACAAAGGAGCCCCAAACAUCCACAGAGCGCUCACGUGCAUCGCUUAUCUCCGCGUGAAGCUUCUUCAGUAUUCACGCGCAGGUAACUGGCUCAGAUCCCCUCAGAGACCGAAGCCUUGAGGGAGAUGUUCCGGAGGAACGAGGCCAGUCCCUCUUUAUCUCUCCCAUCUGCUAGAAAUGGAAGCUGGCGGAGAAUCGCGCAGCUAUUGUGGAAACAUUUGUCUCCGGCCACACGAUACCCCACAAAAAAAUAAAGCUUAAGGAUCUCAUGA